UACGUAGGGAGCAAGCGUUGUCCGGAAUCAUUGGGCGUAAAGCGCGCGUAGGUGGCCUCAUAAGUCCGCUGUGAAAGUCAAAGGCUCAACCUUUGAAAGCCGGUGGAUACUGUGAGGCUAGAGUACGGGAAGAGGCGAGUGGAAUUCCUGGUGUAGCGGUGAAAUGCGCAGAUAUCAGGAGGAACACCGGUGGCGAAGGCGGAUCUCUGGGCCUUACCUGACGCUGAGGCGCGAAAGCUAGGGGAGCGAACAGG
rnacentral:rRNA from 1 species